GUUUGAUCCUGGCUCAGGACGAACGCUGGCGGCGUGCCUAAUACAUGCAAGUCUAACGGGAAAGUUUCCUUCGGGGAGCGAGUAUAGUGGCGAACGGGUGAGUAACGCGUAGGCAACCUGCCCCGAGGCGGGGAAUAACCCCAUUAACAUGGGGCUAAUACCGUAUGUGGCAGCUGGUUCGCAUGGACCGGUUGUUAAAGCGGGGGAUCCUUCGGGACCUCGCGCCACGGGAUGGGCCUGCGUUCCAUUAGCUUGUUGGCGGGGUAACGGCCCACCAAGGCGGCGAUGGAUAGCCGACCUGAGAGGGUGAUCGGCCACACUGGGACUGAGAUACGGCCCAGACUCCUACGGGAGGCAGCAGUAGGGAAUUUUGCGCAAUGGCCUAACGGCUGACGCAGCAACGCCGCGUGACUGAUGAAGCGCUAAGGCGUGUAAAGGUCUGUUAGGAGGGAAGAACGGUGCCGAUGUGAACAAUUUCGGCGCGUGACGGUACCUUCAGAGAAAGCACCGGCUAACUCCGUGCCAGCAGCCGCGGUAAUACGGGGGGUGCAAGCGUUGUCCGGAAUCACUGGGCGUAAAGGGUGGGCAGGCGGAUCGGUAAGUCUGACGUUUAAUUCAUUCGCUUAACGAGUGGCAUGCGUUGGAUACUGCCAAUCUUGAGUUGCGCAGAGGAAGGCGGAAUUCCUGGUGUAGCGGUGAAAUGUGUAGAUAUCAGGAAGAACACCGGUAGCGAAGGCGGCCUUCUGGGCGCUGACUGACGCUGAUCCACGAAAGCGUGGGGAGCAAACAGGAUUAGAUACCCUGGUAGUCCACGCCGUAAACGAUGAACACUAGGUGUUGGGGAGUUCACACUUCUCAGUGCCGUAGUCAACGCAUUAAGUGUUCCGCCUGGGGAGUACGAUCGCAAGGUUGAAACUCAAAGGAAUUGACGGGGGCCCGCACAAGCGGUGGAGCAUGUGGUUUAAUUCGAUCAACGCGAAGAACCUUACCAGGGCUUGAAAUGCAAUGGACAUCCCGGGAAACCGGGCUCCCUUCGGGGUCGUUGUAUAGGUGCUGCAUGGCUGUCGUCAGCUCGUGUCGUGAGAUGUUGGGUUAAGUCCCGCAACGAGCGCAACCCUUGCCCUUAGUUGCCAUCAGUUCGGCUGGGAACUCUAAGGGGACUGCCGACCCUAAGUCGGAGGAAGGUGGGGAUGACGUCAAGUCCUCAUGGCCCUUACGUCCUGGGCUACACACGUGCUACAAUGGCCGGUACAGAGGGUCGCAAUGCCGUGAGGUGGAGCUAAUCCCAAAAAAACCGGUCUCAGUUCAGAUCGAAGUCUGCAACUCGACUUCGUGAAGUUGGAAUCGCUAGUAAUCGCGGAUCAGAACGCCGCGGUGAAUACGUUCCCGGGCCUUGUACACACCGCCCGUCACGCCAUGGGAGUCGGGGGUACCCGAAGUCGCUAUUCCAACCUCUUUGAGGGGGAAGGCGCCGAAGGUAAAACCGAUGACUGGGGCGAAGUCGUAACAAGGUA
rnacentral:rRNA from 1 species